rnacentral:lncRNA from 1 species
CCAGGGGCGGCGGAGUCUGCAGCUCGACCCUGGCAAAGAGGUGGUGAUCACGAGAAGGGCUGGCACACCAGGGGUUCUUCCUGGAAACCAUGGGGGAGCCAAAAGCACACAGGCCUGUGAGUCCUGAGCCACUUGGGAACGGUGAAGUGAUGGCCUAUCACCAUCUCCUUGAGAAGGACAUUGUGAUCCUGUGCACAAAGAGAGGGUUACGCAUGGGGAAAUUCACCAAGGCACAGUUAAUCGUGCAGUUGGAGGAGAAGCACCGCUCUGAGGAGCAGAUUCCUGGCCCAGAUGGGGCUACAAGAGGAUCUGAGAGCAGCUGGAGCAUCAGCCAGGCAUCCCCGGGAGUCUGGUCCCCAAUCAGACGAGGGUCUUCACGAUUGGGUUCCCCAUCAGGAGAUUGGAGACGGAUGGGAUGGGAGCAGAGCCCGAGAGAGCGAGAGGACCGUGAGAGAAAGCAAGAGCCCGAGGAAAAGCUGCAGGAGAAGCAGCAGCAGCGUGGACUGGUGAUGGUGGAGCAGAGAGACAUAGGGGGCUGCCCAGGGGUCAGUGGGGAAACACGCCUGCAGGGGCGAGACCCUGGGACAGAGAGAACUGUGGUGGUGCAGCCCCAGAUGCUGAGGGACUGUGGGACCUGGGUGAAGUUCCCUGGGGUGAAGCCCCUCGCCCUGCCUAUGGCCCAGAUCCCUGUGCAGACCCAGAAGGGGUCGGGCUGGCUGGUAGUUGGGGUUCUCCAGGAUAUCGGCUGGGAGGCCCUGUUGGGGGGUGACUGUCUCCCCAUGGGACAGGAUCCAGGCCCCGCUCCUGUAACGGCCGAGGGUUUGAAUUCAAAUCCAGGGAACCAAUUGGCUAGGAUGGAAAUGGUCAGUGAAAAUGCAAAUAACCUGGCUGGCAGGGGGGAGGGGCUGCUGGGCUCAGGAUACCUGCCUACCUGUAACCAGCCCCCUGGGGCUGAGUGGGAGGGAGAGAUGCUCCCCGCCCCCCUGCACACCGGAGAGGGGGCUCACGCUGGCUCUGAUGCUGUGACCAGAGCAGAGAGCUCGCUGCCUGCCCCCACUGGGACAGCAAGGGCAGCGCUGAGCACGGGGGGAGCUGAGACCCCAGCUGAGUGGGGGGACACCCGGGCAGGGCAGGUCAGCUGCCAAACAGGUUUGCCUGGUCCAGACGUGCUGCUGGGAAGUGAUUACACAGCAGGGAGGGAGCUACCAGGGACAAGGCUCAGGGGGGCUGUGACCCCAGGCCCAACCAGCGAGAGGGAGCAGGU